rnacentral:rRNA from 1 species
UACGAAGGGGGCUAGCGUUGCUCGGAAUUACUGGGCGUAAAGGGAGCGUAGGCGGGUCGUCAAGUUGGGGGUGAAAGCCCAGGGCUCAACCUUGGAACUGCCUUCAAAACUGACGAUCUAGAGUAUGGAAGAGGUAAGUGGAACUCCGAGUGUAGAGGUGAAAUUCGUAGAUAUUCGGAAGAACACCAGUGGCGAAGGCGACUUACUGGUCCAUGACUGACGCUGAGGCUCGAAAGCUAGGGGAGCAAACAGG